rnacentral:sRNA from 1 species
GAGGAUACUCUGGAGUUAGGUUUUAACUAGAGUAUCUUUGGAAGAGGCUAGAAAUAUGAACGCUAAAUUUAGUAUUUACGCUAAAAAUAGGGAAGGUGUCGCAACAGUAGAUCUAGA